rnacentral:lncRNA from 1 species
GCUCCCUCCCAUCUGUUCUGGCCCUAACCUCUAAAGUGCAAAGGUCACUGUGACUCUUGGCACCCAGAGCCCGAGUAGUUUCAGUAACGUGGCCCAGGAACUCAACUGAGGCACAGCACAAAGCAAGUGUGAAAACACAUGCACUAGAAGGAUUCAAGGAAGAUGACGCCCAGUCCCUGCUCUGCCGUGAACCCGUUGUGUGACCUUGAGCAGAUAACCACGCUCUCUCUGGGUUAACUAGGAAUACAUAUCUGAGAUUCCUUCUGCAUGAAUGUUCUCUAGCAGAUGCUCAACUCCAUGUGUUUUCUUAGACUCUGAACUUCUAGACGGGCUAGAGGUUACCCAGCGAGAAUGAAAGUUUGCUGAGUGUAGAAAAUUCAGCAAACAUGUCUUGCCUCUCUCAUCAGGGAUUUCAUAAGCAACAACUGGAACAUUUCACCCAGUUUCCAACUUAAUCGCAUGACAUUUAUUGAAGACUUAUUACGUGUUAAGCAAUCGGGUUAAUAUUUUGGAACAACCGUGGUGAAUAGUAGUAACAGCAAUAUGCUGAACACUAUUAUAUAUAUCGUAUCCUUUAACUCUCAGUUCUGGUGAGGUAGGUAUUAUCAUUCCCCGUUUAUAUAGAAGAAAACAGGUUCUGAUGGAUUAAGAAACCUGGCCCAGGGCACAUCGCAAGUAAACAGCAGAGCCAAGAUAAAAACCCAUGGUGGUCUGGUUUCAGAACCCAAGGACUUUACUAAGAUUUACUGACUCACCUGGAAAUAAUUAUAAGUGGCUUAGAAAGAAUGAAUAAUUACAUGAGCUGAUACAACAAAUCUGCUACUGGUCUCAGCAGCGCUCUCUCUCUUUUCUUCACCAGGUUUACCUUUCAACCAAACUAGAACUUCCCACCAGCAGCCCCUCCCUUGGCUGCUGACCUGAUUCCUGCUUCGCCACCUCCUGAGGAUGGAUGGACGGCUGACCCACCUAGCAGGCCAGUUUACCUAAUUCCUUAAGCUAUUCUUUCUCUGUAUGGAAAUGGUCAUGAGUGGCUUUUCACAGGAAGGGAAAGGGACCCCCUUCACAGUAUUGCCCAGAAUGUGGACAGCACAUCCUACUGAGCUAAAGAAACCUUGCUAAGAGUCCUUGGUGAUAUUUGUGUUGUGGUUGUUACUUACACUCAAGGGCUGGAGUUCCCAGUGUGGCUCAGCAGGUUAUAAAUCUGACUUGUAAGGACAAGGGUUCGGUCCCUGGCCUUGCUCAGUGGGUUGGGAUCUGGCAUUGCCGUGAGCUGUGGUGUAGGUUACGGAUGCGGCUCAGAUCUGGUGUUGUUGUGGCUGCGGUGUUGGCCAGCAGCUGUAGCUCCAAUUCAACCCCUAGCCUGGGAACCUCCAUAUGCUGCUAGUGCAGCCCUAAAAAACAAAAAUGAAUGAAAAACCCCCUCAAGGGAGGCUGAGCUGCUUGACCAGACAAGGGGAUUGAUGACAAUUUAACUUAGUCGCCACUUUGGGUGGCUCUGCAGGCCCACUGGUCCUUGCAGAGAUCUUGGAAGCCAGUAGUGUACUUUCUGGGGUCAAGAGGCAGGAGCGGGAGAUGACAGGUUUGGUUUAGCUUUGUGGGUUUACAGACUGCUGAUCUGAGCACCCCAAGCAACAUUCUGCUCACAGACGUGGAGCAAAGGAAAGAAGUUUCAUUGCUGGGAGCCUGUGACCGUCACAGAUAACACAUUGGAUUUUAACACAGACUCAGAGAAUGCAAAGCAACCCUUGAGGGAAAAUAGUAGGAUCGAAUCCAGGGGAGAGACAUAUGGGCAGAUCUUGCACACUGCUGGAAGAGAAGAGCAAUCUGGAUGUGUGGGCCCCGAGAGGGUCCCCAGGAAUGAGGCAGUAAGGAGGUCUAUUGAGAUUUUACACCUGUUUGUGGGUUCUAGAAUUACCACUGCUCGGCCAGCUUCCAUGGUGUAGAUGAGGAGGAAGCUGAGACCCAGGGAGGGGAGGGGACUUGCCCAAGGUCACAUAGCAGGAGGGGGACUGGAACCCAGCCUUCCUGGCUACUGUCCCAAGGCCCUUGUCCUCUGCCUCCCUCCAUCUCUGUGAUGGACAAGGGCUCACCUUUUGGCCCUGAAAACUGGUUUCACUGUUUCUCAUUGUUUGAAACUGCCGUGAUGUCUUAGUGGCUGCCAGCAUUGUAUGCUGUUGAUUCAGCCUGAGUGGUAGUGACAGCUUGUUAUCUGUAAGUUAUUUCUUAUACAUGGUAGAGAUAAAGGGCCUAGGAGGGUUUGGCCUGAAGACGACUACAGAAUGAUGUUACGCUGAUGAGCAGAUAUCCAAAAAGUUGUGUGAGAGAAGUCCUUAGACUCACUCCUUAUUGCUAGAGAAUGCUCGUCCUCAAAGUGUGGUCUGGGGACCAGCAGCAUCAGUGUCACCUGUGAACUUGUUAAAAAUGGAAAGUCUUGGGUGUUCCCAUCGUGGCUCAGUGGUAACGAACCCAACCUGUAUCCAUGAAGACUCAGGUUUGAUCCCUGGCCUCACUCACCGGGUAAGGGUCUGGCGUUGUUAUAAGCUGUGGUGCAGGUUGCAGAUGCAGCUUGGAUCCUGCAUUGCUGUGGCUGUGAUGGAAGCCGGCAGCUACAGCUCUGAUUCAACCCCUAGCUUAGGAACCUCCAUAUACCGUGGGUGGGGCCCUAAAAAGCAAAAACAAAAACAAAAACAAAGCAGGCCAGGAAACACAAUCAUUUCCCCUUUCUAGAAUAUAAGCUCCGCAAAGCCAAGCAUUUUUAUUUUUUUAUUUUUUUUUCCCCCACUACUGUAACUCCAGUACCUCGAGCAGCGGCAGAGUUCAUGGCCACAGGCUGCUCUGGUACACAAAGUCGUAUUGGAACAAGCCAAGCUUAUACAUUUGCAUAUUGUUUAGAGCUGCUCUUGUACUGCACUGGCAGAGUCAAACCAUUGUGACUCACCAUAUAGCCCAUGAAGCCUAAAAUAUUUACUCUCUGGCCUUGUGUAGAAAAAAGUUUGAUAGUCCCCCAUCUAUAAUAUUGUCUAUAUCACAAGAGAUGCUCAACAAAUAUUUCCUGAAUGAGUGCACUCUUUUCUCUGUUGGUGUCCCAAAGAUGCAAUGACCUGAGUUUAGAAUAUAGCGGGACAGGGCACAUGGGCAUGGAAUUCAGGGCUGGACAGAUCUGGCCUUGAGUCCUGGUUCCACCAUCUACAAGUGGUGUGACCUUAGGCAAAUUAUUUGGCUUCUCUGCUUUUCCUAUGCUUCAUUUGGAAAACAGCAAUAAGUCUAGCCAUUUAUGAUGAUUUCACAUGCCGCACGGGAAGCACAGAGCCUGGCUCAUGUAGCUACAGAAUACGUGUUACUGAGUUAUUCAGAACAUCCAGAAGCCUUCAGUGAGAGAGGUUCAGCUGGGACCAUUUGGACGCUGUGGACCAGGGAGUUGGCAGCCAGAAUAUUCUUCCACCCCUCGGGAGCUCCUUGCAGGGGGAGCAAGAAGGGCACGUUCAGAGAUGAUUGUUAGCUCAACAUUUAAACUUGUAGAAAGCUCCUAGUCAGCCAAGGGACAUGUGAUGAUAUUUAAGAUAGUGUCUAAAUAGGCAAGAUUUAAUUGACUAUAGACUUUCAGGUGUUUUUCCAGUGGUGAAAAUAAUGAUCCAUCCAUAUUUUCUCACACAUUCCUCCGACGACCAACUGCAUACAACUGGCUUGAGUCAGGGCUAAGCAGCCUGAGGCGACAGGAACCCAGGGAGCUCCCUGGUUCAUGGAGGGACUGACCUUGGCCCCGUUCACCAGCUGGUGGUCAAGUUCCCAAAGACGGAAGUGUUUUCUCAUCGACUGCAAGUGUGGCCCCUUUGAGCUGUAGGUGGUGUUAUUAUUUUUUUUUCUGGCAGGAUCUCUUCCUGUGUCCUAGAUGUUCUGGCUCGCCCUUCAAUUCCCCAGGUGAAGCCAGAAACAAAAUAAAUUAUGGGCAGGUGCAAAGCCACACUAGCAAGAGGCUGAGUCAGAAUCAUGUUGUAAAGCAGGACUGAAAAUGCCCACGUGGAGAGCGUCCCUGAUUCCAAGAGGUUGUAAAUGGCCCCACACACCUGCUGGCAACACCUUGGUACAUCUUUUUCUUCACUCGUGUUGGGAGAAACAUGGCAAUUGCCAACACUCGUUGGGACUCUGCUGGCAAGUGCAUUGUCAUACUUGAGAACGGCGACUGGAGACUCGCCUUCGCCCUCAUUCAUAUGCAUUACACACCAAUACUUAACCCUCAAGUCACAGCUCUCAUUAAGAACUGCUCAGCUCCACCACACAGAAUUCAAUUAUAGGUGCCUCUAGGGUCUGAGACUCUGCGGUUCCAACGAAUCAAGGCUUGAUCCAAAGGAAAAUGAAGAAAUACAGUCCAGGCUUUCCUUUCUUCAUGUUUUUAUCUUCUUAGACCUCAGGAUCCAGGACCCUGUCAUCCACUCUCCUGGGGAUCAACUGCCACCUCUCUGCAGAGAGAGAGAGAUGCUCAGAGUUUUCUGUCUCUGAGUUUCUCUCCCAGGCUCCACCCCUCUGACCUUCAACCAUAAAUAUCAACUAUCAGCGGGUAACUGGACUGCCAUCUGCCACCAAGCACAUUCCCAAACAGCCACAAAUAUUCUGUGUCCCCCUGGAAACACAAACAUGUUUCUAUAUCCUCCCAGAAAGCACAACACAUACCCCCAAACGCUCCCAUAAACAUCCAUAGCCCAAUUCCACGUCACGUGGGGAAGAAUUUAAAAGACUAGCAGAGCUUGGUGGAUAAUGGGAGUAUUAGGAGCUGUGUGUUUUUUUCAGGGCAGGGCAGGGUUCUGGAGUAGCUCCCACGUUCCACACUCAGCCAUGAACUCAUUAUCUACCUCGUCUUCCUCCUGAGCUUCUCUGUCCACACUCUGUCUUCUCAAGCAAUCAAACACUGAGAUAUCUUAUGCUCACUAUUACAGCGGCCUGGCCCCCAUCAGGUAACCCCCAGAUUCCCUCUUAAUUGAACAAUAAACAAGUCUUGGGAGUGUCUACUGUGGGUCAGUGGGUUAAGGGUUUGCUGUUGCCAUGAGCCAUGGUGUAGGUCACAGAUGUGGCUUGGAUCUAGCAGGGCUGUGGCUAUGGUGCAGGCCAGCAGCUGCAGCUCCAGGGGGACCCCUCGCCUGGGAACUUCCAUAUGCUGCACAUGUGGCCCUAAAAUCCAAAAAAACAAAUAAACAAACAAAGUCUUUGCUUCCAUGCAAUGCAAAAACGAAGUAGGUGAUGCUUGUCCAGGAGAAGAGAAACAAGAAAGAGGGCAGGUGAGGCCUGGCUCCUUCCUUCUGGGUCUGCUCGCUGAACUGUCUCAAAAUAGACCAGGCCACAGGCAGGGCAGCCUUCAACAGGGAGGUGACUCCCCCUUGGGAAGUGGGAGGCCCCUCUAUAAGCCUAGAGGGCUGAGUUCAUGAUAGCGUGUGUGGAACUACAAGCUGUCACCCAGGCCUCCUGCAGGAUUUUGGGCAAAAGCCUCAAGAGGCAGCAGAGCCUUUCUAGAUGUGACCCUGUACCUGCGACUUCAGUGCCAGUCUCUUCAGCUUAUAGAGCUCAGGUUCUCCCACAGCCAUGAGUGGAGGGUUUGCUCUGCAUAGCUGGCCUCAUGCCCCACCCUGUGGGUGCCUCAGUCCAGGCACCGGCCUCGUCUUCAGUGCAGUGGAGUCUCCCUCUCUGGAACACACAUGCCCCUCCCCGCCCUUUCUCGACGUCUUCGCCUAAAGCCAACCUGUGGGAACUGCACCCCAGCCUCUCUGCGGGCACCCGGGUUACAUCCCGGAGCCCUUCUGCUUUCAUGCUCCCAUCUUCCCUCCUUGACCUGGUCCUUUCUGUUCAGUGCUCAUCGCCGACUCUUUUUUUUUUUCUCUUUUUAGGGCCACAUCCAUGGCAUAUGGAGGUUCCCAGGUCAGGGGCUGAAUCAGAGCCAUAGCUGCAGGCCUAUGCCACCGCCACAGCCAUGCUAGAUCUGAGCCACAUCUGCAACCUACACCACAGCUCACAGCAACGCCAGAUCCUUAACCCACUGAUCGAGGCCGGGGAUGGAACCUAUGUUCCCGCUGAGCCAUAAUGGGAACCCCCUCACGUCCAACUCUUCUCCCAGGUCACUGACCAAUUCUCUGCUCCCUCAGCCAAGUAUCUUCCGCCCGUUCUUGUCACCUCCAAAGACACAUCCUCUUCCUUUAGGCUUUCCUGGGCAGGUGAGAGGGGAGGUGGUGUUUUCCUUGCUCCACGCUGGCUAACUUUCAGACUCUACUCCCAGGGCACCGUUAUCCAAGGGAAAAAGCCAAGCCAAUUUUUUCU